AGUCAGAGGCGAUGAAGGACGUGCUAAUCUGCGAUAAGCGUCGGUAAGGUGAUAUGAACCGUUAUAACCGGCGAUUUCCGAAUGGGGAAACCCAGUGUGUUUCGACACACUAUCAUUAACUGAAUCCAUAGGUUAAUGAGGCGAACCGGGGGAACUGAAACAUCUAAGUACCCCGAGGAAAAGAAAUCAACCGAGAUUCCCCCAGUAGCGGCGAGCGAACGGGGAGCAGCCCAGAGCCUGAAUCAGUGUGUGUGUUAGUGGAAGCGUCUGGAAAGGCGCGCGAUACAGGGUGACAGCCCCGUACACAAAAAUGCACAUACUGUGAGCUCGAUGAGUAGGGCGGGACACGUGGUAUCCUGUCUGAAUAUGGGGGGACCAUCCUCCAAGGCUAAAUACUCCUGACUGACCGAUAGUGAACCAGUACCGUGAGGGAAAGGCGAAAAGAACCCCGGCGAGGGGAGUGAAAAAGAACCUGAAACCGUGUACGUACAAGCAGUGGGAGCACGCUUCGGCGUGUGACUGCGUACCUUUUGUAUAAUGGGUCAGCGACUUAUAUUCUGUAGCAAGGUUAACCGAAUAGGGGAGCCGAAGGGAAACCGAGUCUUAACUGGGCGUUAAGUUGCAGGGUAUAGACCCGAAACCCGGUGAUCUAGCCAUGGGCAGGUUGAAGGUUGGGUAACACUAACUGGAGGACCGAACCGACUAAUGUUGAAAAAUUAGCGGAUGACUUGUGGCUGGGGGUGAAAGGCCAAUCAAACCGGGAGAUAGCUGGUUCUCCCCGAAAGCU
rnacentral:rRNA from 1 species